rnacentral:rRNA from 1 species
AUUGAACGCUGGCGGCAGGCCUAACACAUGCAAGUCGAGCGAGCGGCGGACGUGUGAGUAAUGCCUGGGAAUUGCCCAGUCGAGGUGGAUAACAGUUGGAAAAGACUGCUAAUACCGCAUACGAUCGGAUUGCCCAGGGGGGGUUAGCUAGUUGGGGAGGUAAUGACUCACCAAGGCGACGAUCCCUAGCUGGUCUGAGAGGAUGAUCAGCCACACUUGACGUUGGACACGGUCUAGACGCCUGCGGGAGGCAGCAGUGGAGCAUAAUGGACAAUGGGGGAAGCCCUGAUGCAGCCAUGCAGCGUGUGUGAAGAAGGCCUUGUGGUUGACAAGCACUUUAAGCGAGGAGGGGUUACUCGCAGAAGAAGCACCGGCUAACUCCGUGCCAGCAGCCGCGGAAAUAC